UCCUCCACCACCAAUCCCUACCAUGGCACCACCUUUCUCUCCCCAGCAGAGUCCUGAUGUGUUCAGCACGCCAUCUGGGUGGAAGUGGAGUAAAGAGGGGCUGAAAUCAGAAGUCCAAAACAGUUCUACCAGGCUAAGUUGAGAAUUCUGGAUGGAUGUGAGAGCUUCAGGAUCUACAAAAGCUAUAUGCUAUUGAAUUUCU
rnacentral:lncRNA from 1 species